rnacentral:rRNA from 1 species
GAUGAACGCUGGCGGCGUGCCUAAUACAUGCAAGUCGAGCGCGAAGAUCAGGAGCUUGCUCCUGAGAUUCGAGCGGCGGACGGGUGAGUAACACGUAGGCAACCUACCCUUGAGAUUGGGAUAACUACCGGAAACGGUAGCUAAUACCGGAUACGACAUUCCUGCAUAAGUAAGAAUGUUAAAAGGCGGAUUUAUCUGCCGCUCAUGGAUGGGCCUGCGGUGCAUUAGCUAGUUGGUGAGAUAGUAGCUCACCAAGGCGACGAUGCAUAGCCGACCUGAGAGGGUGAUCGGCCACACUGGGACUGAGACACGGCCCAGACUCCUACGGGAGGCAGCAGUAGGGAAUCUUCCGCAAUGGACGCAAGUCUGACGGAGCAACGCCGCGUGAGUGAUGAAGGGUUUCGGCUCGUAAAACUCUGUUGUUAAGGAAGAACACUUGAGGUAGUAACUGGCCUUGAGAUGACGGUACU